UUUCCGUAGGUGAACCUGCGGAAGGAUCAUUCAUAAUAAAGUGUUUUAUGGCACUUUUUAAAAAUCCAUAUCCACCUUGUGUGCAAUGUUAGGUCUCGUCAAUCUUGGCGAGAUUUUUAUACAUCAACUCAUUCUUUAACUAAUUUGUCUGAAAAAUAUUAGGAAUACUUAAUUCAAAAUACAACUUUCAACAACGGAUCUCUUGGCUCUC
rnacentral:misc_RNA from 1 species